GGAUGUGAGGGUGAUUUGGCUGUGACAUCUGUCACCCCACUGAAGGCCAAAUUUGAUUCAGCUGAUCUGGCUGGCUGGCUAGGCAGGUGUCCCCUUCCUCCCUCACCACUCCAUGUGCAUCCCUCCCAAAGCUGCACUUAUGACCAUCUCCAACAAAGGAGGACUGGUCUUCAGCCAAGGGUAUAUAAGUAGCUGUGCACCCUUGCUAGGGCCUCCAAAGAAGCUCUCAAGGUUUUGAAGGCUGAAGGAAACUAGUGAGCAAAGACACAGAGGCACAUGCUUGGUGGGGCCUAGAAUGU
ensembl:misc_RNA 7SK 7SK RNA